rnacentral:rRNA from 1 species
GUGGGGAAUAUUGCACAAUGGGCGCAAGCCUGAUGCAGCCAUGCCGCGUGUGUGAAGAAGGCCUUCGGGUUGUAAAGCACUUUCAGCGAGGAGGAAGGGUUCAGUGUUAAUAGCACUGUUCAUUGACGUUACUCGCAGAAGAAGCACCGGCUAACUCCGUGCCAGCAGCCGCGGUAAUACGGAGGGUGCAAGCGUUAAUCGGAAUUACUGGGCGUAAAGCGCACGCAGGUGGU